rnacentral:lncRNA from 1 species
AUGGUGUUGCUCAAGCUAAACACACACAAUGACAUUAUAGAAAAAUACAAUUUCCAAUUUCACAUGAACAAACAGAAUUUAACAGAGCAGCUCAAUAUAAAACACAUUGAAACCUUUACAUCAUUCAUCAUGGACAUAACACUACAACGUUCCUUCUGUUAGUAGUAAUGAAGCCUUUACAUCAUUCAUCAUGGACAUAACACUACAACUUUCCUUCUGUUAGUAGUAAUGAAGCCUUUACAUCAUUCAUCAUGGACAUAACACUACAACUUUCCUUCUGUUAGUAGUAAUGAAGCCUUUACAUCAUUCAUCAUGGACAUAACACUACAACUUUCCUUCUGUUAGUAGUAAUGAAACCUUUACAACUGAUACUGUCAGCUGGUUCCAGUCAGUGGUGUCUGUUUGUUCUCAUGAUAAACUGACUCUAACUCUGUUGAUGGAGGUCAAGGCUGCAGCGUCUAAAGAUAAGUGUGUUGGUGUGAAAACGGAAGGGGGGAGAGAGAAGAUAAGAGAAAUGAGAAGUAAAGAGAUGGACCGACAGGGUUGUGGUUAUUCACCGCUGCUGAAGAGAGCAUCUUUUUCCACCCACCAUGACGUUCUGAUGAACAGGGUCACUAGGUAAAGAGAUAGGAGAGAGAGAUGAGUGAGGGACAGAGGAGCUGAUCCAGUCUACUACAGCGAAGACCAUCAACACCACUAGAACAUUUAUACACCCCAACAGGUCUCAGUGUUUAAUGUGUAGUUAGAUACAGUUACACACCCCAAUCUGUCUCUGUGUGUGUCUGUGUGCGUCUCUUUCCGGUGUGGCUCAGUUGGUAGAGAAUGGCAUUUGCAAUGCCAGGGUUGUGGGUUUGAUUCCCACGGAGGACCAGUACAGGAAAAAGUACAAUAAUGUA